rnacentral:rRNA from 1 species
GACGAACGCUGGCGGCGUGCUUAACACAUGCAAGUCGAACGGAAAGGCCCUGCUUUUGUGGGGUGCUCGAGUGGCGAACGGGUGAGUAACACGUGAGUAACCUGCCCUUGACUUUGGGAUAACUUCAGGAAACUGGGGCUAAUACCGGAUAGGAGCUCCUGCUGCAUGGUGGGGGUGGGAAAGUUUCGGCGGUUGGGGAUGGACUCGCGGCUUAUCAGCUUGUUGGUGGGGUAGUGGCUUACCAAGGCUUUGACGGGUAGCCGGCCUGAGAGGGUGACCGGCCACAUUGGGACUGAGAUACGGCCCAGACUCCUACGGGAGGCAGCAGUGGGGAAUAUUGCACAAUGGGCGGAAGCCUGAUGCAGCAACGCCGCGUGCGGGAUGACGGCCUUCGGGUAGUAAUCCGCUUUCGCCUGUGACGAAGCGUGAGUGACGGUACUGGGUAAAGAAGCACCGGCUAACUACGUG